GACAGCAUUGUUUCUGUGACUUUCUGUAGCUGGUGACAACAGCUAUGCCGGCACUGUGUUUAGAGCGUGGACUCCAGCCCACACUCGUUUUGCAUCCAGACUGCUCGCGUCCCAAAUAGCACUUAGCAACAGACAGGCUUGUGCAGGGGAGUUUGACCUAAGAGACCUGAGAUCUUCGGCAUUACUCUUCAUCACUCUGUUGUGACAUUAUGCUGGACAACCUUGAAAACUGGAUCUCAGCUACAAAGAGAGAACAACAGAGGUGCAGGCAGACGUUACAUUUGCUGCAGCCUGCUUUCUGCUAGUCUCCCAAGCGCGAAGUCCUCAGCUGCAGACCUACACAUGCUCCUGGGAGGGUUUCUGUUGAAGCGUGACAGCUCAGAGUGAUGCUGGCCAGCAGCCUCGGCUGCUUCUGGGGUACAGCAACGGUGGGGGGAAGAGCUUCUUGGCGUCUCUGCACAAGCACU
rnacentral:lncRNA from 1 species